UACGUAGGAGGCUAACGUUAUUCGGAUUCACUGGGCGUAAAGCGCGUGCAGGCGGCCGUGCAAGUUGGGUGUGAAAUCUCCCAGCUCAACUGGGAGGGGUCAUCCAAAACUGUGCGGCUUGAGGGCAGGAGAGGGAAGCGGAAUUCCCGGUGUAGCGGUAAUAUGCGCAGAUAUCGGGAGGAACACCAGUGGCGAAGGCGGCUUCCUGGACUGUACCUGACGCUGAGACGCGAAAGCCAGGGGAGCGAACGGGAUUAGAUACCCCGGUAGU
rnacentral:rRNA from 1 species